rnacentral:lncRNA from 1 species
UAAUUAUGCCGAUUUCUAAUCAAACUUCAAUUCUAAAAACAAUAUGUUCUAAAAAUCUAAUUUCUAAAAAUCCAAUUAAAAUUCUAAAAGUUUAUAAAACUAUAAUUAAUUAGUAUUUUAAUCUUCACUUUGACAUCUGAUGUAUUUCGAUCUUCACUUCGAAAUUCCUUCUCCCAUUCUCGAAGGAGCUUCAAGCGAAAGCCAAUAAACAUUUUUGAAUUUCAUGCUGAGAUCGAGUUCAUUCCUCAACUUUAUUCACUCCGAUUCGAAUCUUGACUCAAUAGCAACAACAGGUAUUGAACUCUCUCUAUGAUUCUGAUUCGAUUUCUUCUUCUUCUCACUUCUGCAGACUGUAGGAUUUGAGAACCGUUGAUUAUGUGCUAUUGCUGCGUUAUCUUGUGUCGUGGUUUUUGCAUGCGCGAAAUUGAGAAUUGAGAGCGAGAUUGAGAGAAUUCUCUGAGUUGGAGAGAGAUCGAGAGUGCAGAGUGUUGUGUUCUUGCAAAUGGUGAUUGAAAUAUCCAUCUGGUGAAUGAUGAAUGCCUAUAAAUAGCAGUUGAUUUAACAGAGAUAAACUAUGUUAAAUCGUGCUUAGUUCAAAUCAAUUGAGGGUUAGAAGUUCUGUUAAAAAAAUAUUAAGAUUAGUUAGAGUUGUUAGUUAUAAGUUAGGGAAAAUCAGUGAAGUUAAAACUUUGGUAGUUAAGUUUAUGUUAGCUUUUUGGUUAGUAAAUUCUGUUAAAUGAAAAAUGUUAACUGAAACUGAAUUUUCGCUUAAAAUAAGAUGACUUGAGCUGGAUACUAGCUCAAAGUUCUGUUAUUUGAAUAGAAAAGAUUUAUUUAACUAUUAUCCGUCUUCUGUUAGAUGAUUGAAUUAGUGAAUCAAUGUAAACCAUGUUAGUAAUUAUAGUUGUGAAUUAGAUGGAUUAAAACAAUGUAAUUAGUUAGUUACAAACUCCGUUUCUAGUUAUUUAUCAGCUUUUGUCAAGAUGAAAUUGUUGAUGAAAUUAACCUCCAAAUACGGAAAAGUUACUGAACCAAAUGCACAUUUAAGGCUCUGCAACUUUGUUCUUAUGCAGGUUGAAACUGUUUUACACUUCUGUUAUGUGAAAAGUGUUAAUUUGCUAUUUAAAAAUGAUUAUGCUAAACUGUAACUAUAACAUAUUCUUUUAGUAAAGGAGUUAAUUCUGGAAAAAUUGUUAGAAGUUUGUGGAUUAAUGGAUGUCUGUAUGCUAAGGCGCGCUGGUGUUGAAUUUGCAGGUGAAACAUGGAAGGGUGAAUUUGCUUGCAUUGGACAUGGUUCGAAGAACUUGGCAUGCUUAGAAUGAUUAUGCACUAAUAGAAAUUAUAAUUUUGAAAUUUUGGUUUGUAACUUUGAAUGAAAAUGCUAUCAAUUAAAAUUAUAAACAUGGGUUGGCUUGUAAUCUGAAAAGUGAUAUGAUGACAUGAUAAGGUUUCUAAGAUCUAAAGUGACUAAAUACUUGUAUAAAUAAGGUGUCUCUCGAUCCAUGUUUUCUAUAAAACACACAACAACCAAAUAAUGAAUGCAUAUUCAUACCUUGUAUUUGUGUAUUUCAAUGGCGCAAAGUCGUAGUUUCAAUUUAGAGUCACCGAUGACACACCUCUCGCAGAUCUGAUUUCCAAACUGAAUACUCUCCUGCGAUAUUCAUAAAAUCGGAGAGUUGUCAAGUUCGAGUAUCGUUUACCAUUACUUGAUAACGAAGGAAAAAUAUAGUUCACCAACUUUGGACUGAAGACGGAUGCAUAUUUACAGGUCAUGCAUAGUACAUUUUACCAUUACACAUCAAAGGUCUGAUUGAAGUGGAUGCGAAGAUUGAAAGAUCCGUCGACGAUAUUAUCAAUAUGUUGCAACGUUCUGAACUAUUUGUUUAUAACGAUAUGUAAUGUUAAAUUUAUGUUAACAACUAUUUAUGUAAUGUUGAGUGUUUUAAUUUAAUGUCAAGUUGAUUUUGUUUCUAGAUAUUGCUCAUACUUUAUGGUUUGAAGUAUCUGGACUACUUUCGGAUAUACAUCUCAAAAAUAUAUAAAAAAUUCAUUUAGAGAUGCAACUCCGAAAAAAAUAGGUG